UACGUAGGUGGCAAGCGUUGUCCGGAAUUAUUGGGCGUAAAGCGCGCGCAGGCGGUCCUUUAAGUCUGAUGUGAAAGCCCACGGCUCAACCGUGGAGGGUCAUUGGAAACUGGGGGACUUGAGUACAGGAGAGAAAAGUGGAAUUCCACGUGUAGCGGUGAAAUGCGUAGAGAUGUGGAGGAACACCAGUGGCGAAGGCGACUUUUUGGCCUGUAACUGACGCUGAGGCGCGAAAGCGUGGGGAGCAAACAGG
rnacentral:rRNA from 1 species